GACAGUAUUCUAUGGGUGCCUUGAGGCUGGAACAAGGAAUAUCUCUGUGUUCACAUUGGCCACCUCCUAUUCCAUCUCUAUACAUACCAAAGGAAAAAUCCAGUCAAGACAAAAUAGUUAAAGAUCUUUGCCUUCAAUCGGAGUAAGGACAGGUGAUGGAAGAAUGACCAGAACUGCUUAAACCAAAAGACUGAAGAGCAGACUUGCCCGCAUUUCAACGUUUGUUCCGGUAUUUUGUUCCCCAUACUAAGAAGGAGCGAAGUAUCCACACUUUUCCCAACUAGUCUAGCAGAAAGACUAGACAUGCUGGAUGCUAAGAGGUGCAAUAUUACCAGCUGCUCCAGUUUCCUGUUGCCUUGACUUCUUCCCAGCCAUGAUAGACUAGACCUGCAAACUCAAAAGAGGAAGUAGAGAUCUUAGAGACUGUAACCAGAAGAGAAUGAUGUCUUCAAGGGUUCCUUGGGGUAAACUAUAGUCAGCCAUCUAGGAUCCACGUUCCAAUGGUUCUACAGUUUUCUAAAGCAAUGCUAACAUUUAUGGACCAAGUCUUCAAACAAGAGGAAGCUUCUCUAAUGAUGGCUGAGCAAUGUGCUGAGUGAUAGGUGAUUUUAUUGGCACUUAGACAGCCUGAGGUCUACAAGCCUGUAAUUAUCCAGAAAACAGAUAAGUCAGUAUUUUCCUUAAUUAUACAAGAGAAAAAAAGGGGGGGGGAAAGGGAAUUGUGGAGGGUUUUAUUUCAGGCUGAAUUUUUAUCCAAUCUAAACUGCCUAAAAUUCCAAGCCAUUGCCAGGCCUGUGGACUUAGCAGUCUGAGUUUUUCUAUGUGAUUUGUGCCUUCUACAUCAACUACCAAAUCAAAUGGAACUGGGAAUUACCGCACCCACUUUAUAAGCCAAUUUGUAUUGUAAAACAUUUGAUUACUUAAAUCUUUUUUCAUGGAAGACACGAAUACUUUACCUUUCUGUACUGAAAAAAUGCCAUUGAGCUGCUCAGCCACUGCCAUUUGCUUUUGCUGCAUUAAAAUCCUGAUUCAAUG
ensembl:antisense